AGCCUGUGGAUACAAAUGCAGAUGUCCUUAAUGUUCAAUAGUGCGUGUUCUUCUAAUGGCUGCCUUCCCACUGGAGGUUUUGAUCCACAGCAAUUUAAAAGGAGGACAAAGCAAAACGGACAUCGGCGCAGAGUGAAGAACUGCCCUUGAUAAGGACACUAUGACAGCCAUAUAUAUGGCGGUAAGGAAGAGGUUUCCCAAUGUGUCCCGAGGGGCUUUGAGGAUUGCAGUGAAUUCGAAGCUGGGGGAACUGAGACUGCUGGAAAAGGAAAAAAAAAACCAUUUUAAGUAUGUUGAUUUAUGUUCAUACAAACACACACAUAUACACAUAUAUAUAUACAUGUGUAUAUGUGUGUGUUUUUUAGAAUGUUUAAGUAUGUAAUGAGAAUA